rnacentral:rRNA from 1 species
UACAGAGGGGGCAAGCAUUGUUCGGAAUUACUGGGCGUAAAGGGCGCGUAGGCGGCCUUCUAAGUCGAACGUGAAAUCCCCGGGCUCAACCCGGGAACUGCGUCCGAUACUGGAAGGCUUGAAUCCGGGAGAGGGAUGCGGAAUUCCAGGUGUAGCGGUGAAAUGCGUAGAUAUCUGGAGGAACACCGGUGGCGAAGGCGGCAUCCUGGACCGGCAUUGACGCUGAGGCGCGAAAGCCAGGGGAGCAAACGGG